rnacentral:rRNA from 1 species
CACUCCUGCGGGAGGCAGCAGUGAGGAAUAUUGGACAAUGGGUGGAAGCCUGAUCCAGCCAUCCCGCGUGCAGGAAGACGGCCCUAUGGGUUGUAAACUGCUUUUAUCUGGGGAUAAACCUACUUACGUGUAAGUAGCUGAAGGUACCAGAAGAAUAAGCACCGGCUAACUCCGUGCCAGCAGCCGCGGUAAUACGGAGGGUGCAAGCGUUAUCCGGAUUUAUUGGGUUUAAAGGGUCCGUAGGCGGACUGAUAAGUCAGUGGUGAAAUCCGACAGCUUAACUGUCGAACUGCCAUUGAUACUGUUAGUCUUGAGUAAGGUUGAAGUGGCUGGAAUAAGUAGUGUAGCGGUGAAAUGCAUAGAUAUUACUUAGAACACCAAUUGCGAAGGCAGGUCACUAAGUCUUAACUGACGCUGAUGGACGAAAGCGUGGGGAGCGAACAGGAUUAGAAACCCGGGUAGUCCCAUGAU